UAGGGAAUCUUCGGCAAUGGGGGGAACCCUGACCGAGCAACGCCGCGUGAGUGAAGAAGGUUUUCGGAUCGUAAAGCUCUGUUGUUAAGGAAGAACGAGUGUGAGAAUGGAAAGUUCAUGCUGUGACGGUACUUAACCAGAAAGGGACGGCUAACUACGUGCCAGCAGCCGCGGUAAUACGUAGGUCCCGAGCGUUGUCCGGAUUUAUUGGGCGUAAAGCGAGCGCAGGCGGUUAGAAAAGUCUGAAGUGAAAGGCAGUGGCUCAACCAUUGUAGGCUUUGGAAACUGUUUAACUUGAGUGCAGAAGGGGAGAGUGGAAUUCCAUGUGUAGCGGUGAAAUGCGUAGAUAUAUGGAGGAAUACCGGUGGCGAAGGCGACUUGCUGGACUUUUACUGAUGCUCAGGUACGAAAGCGUGGGGAGCAAACAGG
rnacentral:rRNA from 1 species